GAGGGGUGCUAGCGUUAUUCGGAAUUACUGGGCGUAAAGGGUGCGUAGACGGCUUGCUAAGUCUGUCGUUAAAUUCUUCGGCUUAACCGAAGGUCAGCGGUGGAAACUAGUAGGCUAGAGGGUGAGAGAGAGAAGUGGAAUUCCCGGAGUAGCGGUAAAAUGCGUAGAUCUCGGGAGGAACACCAAUGGCGAAGGCAGCUUCUUGGCUCAUUCCUGACGUUGAGGCACGAAAGCGUGGGGAGCAAACAGGAUUAGAUACCCUGGUAGUCCACGCCGUAAACGAUAAUCACUAGACGUUAGUUCAGCUUUGCUGAAUUAGUGUCGUAGCUAACGCGUUAAGUGAUUCGCCUGGGGGAGUACGGUCGCAAGAUUA
rnacentral:rRNA from 1 species